CAGGUAUUGAAGGCUAUGUGCUGUUUAGGAAAGACAGAAAUAAAGGCAAAGGUGGUGGAGUAGCAUUGUACAUCAAUGAGGAGGUUAACUGUAAAGAAAUAAGAAGUGAUGGAAUGGACAAGACAGAGUCUGUCUGGGCAAAAAUCACACUGGGAAAGAAAGCUACUAGAGCCUCCCCUGAGAUAGUGCUUGGGGUGUGCUACAGACCGCCGGGAUCUGAUUUGGAUAUGGAUAGAGACCUCUUUAAUGUUUUUAAGGAAGUAAACACUAAUGGGAAAUGUGUGAUCAUGGGAGACUUUAACUUCCCAGAUAUAGACUGGAGUACAAGUGCUAGCAAGAAUAGUAGGGAUCAGAUUUUUCUGGAUGUGAUAGCUGAUGGAUUCCUUCACCAAGUAGUUGAAGAACCGACAAGAGGGGAUGCCAUUUUAGAUUUGGUUUUGGUGAGCAGUGAGGACCUCAUAGAAGAAAUGGUUGUAGGGGACAACCUUGGUUCGAGUGAUCAUGAGCUAAUUCAGUUCAAACUAGAUGGAAGGAUAAACAAAAAUAGAUCUGGGACUAGGGUUUUUGAUUUCAAAAGGGCUAACUUUAAAGAAUUAAGGAAAUUAGUUAGGGAAGUGGAUUGGACUGAAGAACUUGUGGAUCUAAAUGCGGAAGAGGCCUGGAAUUACUUUAAGUCGCAGCUGCAGAAACUAUCGGAAGCCUGCAUCCCAAGAAAGGGGAAAAAAACCAUAGGCAGGAGUUGUAGACCAAGCUGGAUGAGCAAGCAUCUCAGAGAGGUGAUUAAGAAAAAGCAGAAAGCCUACAAGGAGUGGAAGAAGGGUGGGAUUAGCAAGGAAAGCUACCUUAGUGAGGUCAGAACAUGUAGGGAUAAAGUGAGAAAGGCUAAAAGCCAAGUAGAGUUGAACCUUGCAAAGGGAAUUAAAACCAAUAGUAAAAGGUUCUAUAGCCAUAUAAAUAAGAAGAAAACAAAGAAAGAAGAAGUGGGACCGCUACACACUGAGGAUGGAAAGGAGGUUAAGGAUAACCUAGGCAUGGCCCAAUAUCUAAAUAAGUACUUUGCCUCAGUCUUUAAUAAGGCUAAUGGGGAGCUUAGGGGUAAUGGAAGGAUGACAAACGGGAAUGAGGAUAUGGAGGUGGAUAUUACCACAUCUGAGGUAGAAGCCAUACUUGAACAGCUUAAUGGGACAAAAUCGGAGGGCCCGGACAAUCUUCAUCCGAGAAUAUUAAAGGAACUGGCGCAUGAAAUUGCAAGCCCAUUAGCGAGAAUUUUUAAUGAAUCAGUAAACUCAGGGGUUGUACCGUAUGACUGGAGAAUUGCUAACGUAGUUCCUAUCUUUAAGAAAGGGAGAAAGAGUGAUCCGAGUAACUAUAGGCCUGUUAGUUUGACAUCUGUAGUAUGUAAGGUCUUGGAAAAAAUUUUGAAGGAGAAAGUAGUUAAGGACAUUGAGGUCAAUGGUAAUUGGGAC
ensembl:lncRNA